UUUUUAUUUAUUACGUAGACGUAUUUAAUUAAAAACGCCAAGGCAAAUGAAUGACAUAUUUAUAUAUUUAUAAAUCCGUUUGGAAGCUAUUGACAAUGUGUUAAACUCUGGAAAAUGGAUAAAAUAUAUAACCAUCGUUUUUCACUUUCUACGAAACAAUCUAACGAAGUGUUAGUAAAUUCACAACAUUUACUAAGAGUUAAGUCUAUUCAACAUUAUUUUACUUUUUUUUCAUUAGAUAGCUUCUGCCUUACAAUUGAAAGACCUUACGGGCGCACAAACCUUUGUCUAUCAAUUCAGCAAAUCAAAUGAAAAUUUAAAAGUCUAUGGCGGCCAGCCGACAGUUAAAAUUAUUUUCAAAAACAUUAAUUAGGUAAAAGGCUUCAAGUUUUAGUUUUUUUCAUUUUCUGACUAUCAUUUUUAUCAUGACAUCAGUGGCACCAUCAGAUUCCGAAUCAAAUGUGAGCGGAUUCGUCCGAUAUAGUGAUAAAAGUUUCAAACACUUGUACACAUCUGUUUUAGAGAAAUUGGAAUUAAUAAAUCAAGACAUUCUGCAGAUUGAAAACAAUUUAAAAAAUUUAAUACAACAUGCCGGUCCUUUAGAGAGUCAACUUUCAGCAGUACUCCACUCGUUACCGAAGCCGAAUACAAAUACAGCAAUGGAAACUGAAUGAGUAAUUGAAAUUUAAAUUUAUGAAUUAUAAAUUUUCAUUGUCAAAUCUAAUUUAUUGCAAAUCUUCACAAAGCCAAAAAAGGACUUUUUGGUUUUUCUAUGAUAAAAGACAAGUCUUCAAGCUAAGACUGAAUUUUUAAAAAUCUUUAAAAAAUAAUUAUUAUAAUAGUGUUGAGAGAAUGUAUAGUGAUAAGCUUAAUCCAUAUUCUUUACCUUAAAUUUAUGUAAAUAAAAAUUAGUGUAAAAGUAAAA